rnacentral:rRNA from 1 species
AGCGAACGCUGGCGGCAUGCCUUACACAUGCAAGUCGAACGGUAACAGGUCUUCGGAUGCUGACGAGUGGCGAACGGGUGAGUAAUACAUCGGAACGUGCCUAGUAGUGGGGGAUAACUACUCGAAAGAGUGGCUAAUACCGCAUGAGAUCUACGGAUGAAAGCAGGGGAUCGCAAGACCUUGUGCUACUAGAGCGGCCGAUGGCAGAUUAGGUAGUUGGUGGGAUAAAAGCUUACCAAGCCGACGAUCUGUAGCUGGUCUGAGAGGACGAUCAGCCACACUGGGACUGAGACACGGCCCAGACUCCUACGGGAGGCAGCAGUGGGGAAUUUUGGACAAUGGGCGCAAGCCUGAUCCAGCAACGCCGCGUGCAGGAUGAAGGCCUUCGGGUUGUAAACUGCUUUUGUACGGAACGAAAAGCCCUGGGUUAAUACCCUGGGGUCAUGACGGUACCGUAAGAAUAAGCACCGGCUAACUACGUGCCAGCAGCCGCCGUAACAC